rnacentral:tRNA from 1 species
CGCGGGGUGGAGCAGUCAAGCAGCUCACCGGGCCCAUAACCCGGAGGUCGAGGGUGCGAAUCCCUCUCCCGCCACCC